UACGGAGGGAGCUAGCGUUGUUCGGAAUUACUGGGCGUAAAGAGCGUGUAGGCGGUCCGGUAAGUCCGUUGUGAAAGUCAAGGGCUCAACCCUUGAAUGCCGGCGGAUACUGUCGGGCUAGAGUCCGGAAGAGGCAAGUGGAAUUCCCGGUGUAGCGGUGAAAUGCGCAGAUAUCGGGAGGAACACCUAUGGCGAAGGCAGCUUGCUGGGACGGUACUGACGCUGAGACGCGAAAGCGUGGGGAGCAAACAGG
rnacentral:rRNA from 1 species